rnacentral:misc_RNA from 1 species
GUAAAUACAACAGCAAUUCAUACAAAACAUAUAUAAAUUGCUCAAUUAGCCUGGCGGUGAAUGAAUUUAAUUAUGAGACUAAUAAAAAAUAAAUAAGUGCAAAAUGGGACGACUAAAUGUGGUUGUCACCUGAAAGCAUGAUAAGGGAGCUAAGUAAGAACAGAGGAACGAGAAGCUGAGUGGAAGCCAUUGAAGAAUUUGGUACGGAGGGUUGGGAAUGGAA